CACACCUGAGUUACGUCAACUCCCUGUUUAGUUCUGCUUGGCGCUGCAUUAUAUGCAAGGUACUGUUGAGGGUUUUCAUAAGAAGUACAGGGCGGUCUUCCUCCUGUCUACCCCGAUCCGGUCCAUCCGCCUGCUUUGCUGCCAUUCCAUCCCAUCCCAUCCUGAUCCUCCCGGACCUCUUCCUUGUACUUGUCCUUCGUCUCGCAUGCCACCUGUAGAACUGGCUUUUGGACUCGAUUGUACUUGCUGAUUCCAGUUCUGUUUGCGUGUUCCCAACAAUAAACCCCGUACAGUACGUUGCCUUCUGUGUCUCUACCAUCCUCUGGGGUUGCAUGUUGUGCAGUACUGUAGUAGCUUGGAUUCAACCAUUAGAUGGCAGUAGUAGCAUAUAGUUGGAGGGAAGUAGAAGAAGGCAAGAGAGGGAAGUUGAGUGUUUAUGCGUUGUUCCCGGAGCUGAUAAGUUAAUAAAUAUUGAACCUCUUGCCAUCCCCAAAUGUGUCUCGGCUGACUCUCAAUAUAUCAAAAGUACAUACCGUCUAUUUAUUUAUGUCUGCCCUUCAAACCGCUAGAUUCCUUCACUAAGCAGGAAGUUUGUCACGACAGCUGACACCAAAUCUCCUGCUGAGCUGGUUCAGACAGAACUAUCCUCAAUUCACCACGAGGGGGCGCCAACGCAGCAGCUUAGUUCUAUUGUUUCUCUUUUUCAAAGACAGUUUUUCUCUUCACAAAAGGACAACUUAACUGAAUAAUGCACUUUCAUAGUAAUUGUUUUUAAUCCGUGUUAAUGUUCUGAACAAUGACUACUAAAGGUUCUGUAAGGUUGUCCCACAUACUAUGGAUUUUAAGUUUUUUAUCAAGGUGUUAAAAUGUACCAUCUAUUUUCUGCUGAAAGUUGCCAGUCCUGUGUUUUAUGUCUAGCAAUUUGUACAGUUUCUUCAGUAUGGCGCAUAAACACAUGCCAUCAUCUAUAGUAUGAGAAUCUCCUCCAGAACUCUGCAUUUCCUCAAGAUUUUUUCUCAUGAACCUUAAUUUGCCAAGCAUGUAUUGACUGGGCACAGUACAGUGGUGCAAUUUCUGACAAUGAAAGAACAUCAUGGACCCCUACUCCCCAUUCCUUAACCCGAUCGAGGGGCUCUGCUCAGCAUGGAGUUAGAAGGCUUACGAUCGCCAGCCACAUGCUCAGAUGACCCUGCUGGCUGACAUGGAUGCAGCAUGUGAGGACAUUACAGCAGAUGCCUGCAGAGGCAGACACUUCACUGGCUGUGGAUGUUGUUCAGCCCAGAUACCUGAUGAGGGUCCAGCAUGGAGACAGUGUGACCCUGACAUGCUUCCGUCCAGAAGAUAUUUCUUUUGCAGUUUGGUUUUAGCAAGCUGCUGGUCAGAAGCCCCAGCUCAUGGCGAAAGCACUUCUCUACGUACCUGGUGAAUUUUACAAGGAAUAUAAAAACAUAAAACGUUACUCCUUACUGAAUGCAGAGGGGAGUUUUAACCUCACUAUUUCUAACGUGGAGCCGUCAGAUUCUGCAGUGUAUUAUUGCGCUGCUCUGUUCUAUAAUGAAAUCGCAUUUGGAAAUGGAACCUUUGUCAUAAUCACAGAUAAAUGAGAUUCCAACUA